UGAAUACGAGACGCUAAGGCGUCGAAGUAGUGUAUGUCAUACUUCCAAGAAAAGCUUGCACUGUCAUAGAUAAAAAACGCCUGUACCAUAACCGACACAGGUGGGUAGGUAGAGUAUACUAAGGGGCGCGAGAUAACUCUCUCUAAGGAACUCGGCAAAAUAACUCCGUAACUUCGGGAGAAGGAGUGCCUUAUUCUUAAGGUUGCAAUAACAAGAUCCAAGCAACUGUUUAUCAAAGACACAGGUCUCCGCUAAGUCGUAAGACGAUGUAUGGGGGCUGACGCCUGCCCAGUGCCAGAAGGUUAAAGAAGCUGGUUAGCAUUUGCGAAGCUAGUAACUGAAGCCCUGGUGAACGGCGGCCGUAACUAUAACGGUCCUAAGGUAGCGAAAUUCCUUGUCGGGUAAGUUCCGACCCGCACGAAAGGCGUAAUGAUUUGGAUACUGUCUCGGAGAGGGGCUCGGUGAAAUAGACUUGUCUGUGAAGAUGCGGACUACCUGCACCAGGACAGAAAGACCCUAUGAAGCUUUACUGUAACUUGAAAUUGAAAUUGGACUUUAUUCGCGCAGUAUAGGUGGGAGGCGUUGAUUAUAAUCUUGCGGGAUUAUUGGAGCCAUUAGUGAGAUACCACUCUUGUAAUGUUAGAUUUCUAACUUUGAAUCAUUAUCUGGUCAAAGAACAGUUUCAGGCGGGCAGUUUGACUGGGGCGGUCGCCUCCUAAACGGUAACGGAGGCGUACAAAGGUUUCCUCUGAACGGUUAGAAAUCGUAUCUAGAGUGUAAAGGCAUAAGGAAGCUUGACUGUGAGACCUACAAGUCGAGCAGGGACGAAAGUCGGUCUUAGUGAUCUGACGGUACUGAGUGGAAAGGCCGUCACUCAACGGAUAAAAGUUACUCUAGGAUAACAGGCUGAUCUCCCCCAAGAGUUCACAUCGACGGGGAGGUUUGGCACCUCGAUGUCGGCUCAUCGCAUCCUGGGGCGGUAGUACGUCCCAAGGGUUGGGCUGUUCGCCCAUGAAAGCGGUUCGCGAGCUGGGUUCAGAACGUCGUGAGACAGUUCGGUCCAUAUCCGGUGUAGGCGUUAGAAUAUUGAGAGGAGCCUUCUUUAGUACGAGAGGACCGAGAAGGACAUACCUCUGGUGUACCAGUUAUCGUGCCAACGGUAAACGCUGGGUAGCUAUGUAUGGAGUGGAUAACCGCUGAAAGCAUCUAAGUGGGAAGCCCACCUCAAGAUAAGUAUUCUCAU
rnacentral:rRNA from 1 species